CUUUUCUUUAAAGAAAGAGUGGAGAAUCUCGUGGUCCAUUUCUCUUCCUCCCCUGCUUUUUACAGUUUCAUGGAGCCAUGGGAGCUCUGGAAGUGAACUCAGACAAGAAGAGGUCAUGGCUGGAGGAACAAACCACACGUGGGACUAUGUUUCUUUUCUGCAGAUGGUAGUCAUGCACUGCUCAAACAGAGCUGUCUUGCCACAUCCAUGUCCAAAUGGGAUGAUUAGGGCAUUCUUCAGGCACUGAAGAGAGGAAGAUAUAGAUUUUGUCAAGCUGAGGAGGAAAAGAGGCCUUAAUUCCAACCUCCUGAAUCAGUGUUCCAUCUAGGAAGAUGCUUUGUGGAAGAUAAUCACAGGCAUUGCUACUGAUUCUAUCUCUGCUUGAAAAUAAAAGGACUGAUCCUUCUGUUUGUUAAACAAAACAAGCAAACAAAGAGUUUUAGGAAGAUGAUUAUUCUGCAGAGACAAUUUUGGAGUCAAGAUCCUGAGCAAUGCCCGCAUGCAACCCCAGUACAAAAGACAGUUCUAGCGCAGUGGAAGAGACCAAAUAAGAGGACCAAGGGAAAUAUUUGUUGCAGAGAUCUGUAG
rnacentral:lncRNA from 1 species